CGCGUAGGAAUCAACCCAGCAGUGGGGGACAACUCGUGGAAACGCGAGCUAAUACCGCAUAUACCCUACGGGUAAAGGUGGCCUCUCCUUGGAGGCUAUCGCUGUUGGAUGAGCCUGCGUAAGAUUAGCUAGUUGGUAGGGUAAAGGCCUACCAAGGCGACGAUCUUUAGCUGGUCUGAGAGGAUGAUCAGCCACACUGGGACUGAGACACGGCCCAGACUCCUACGGGAGGCAGCAGUGGGGAAUAUUGGACAAUGGGGGCAACCCUGAUCCAGCCAUGCCGCGUGUGUGAAGAAGGCU
rnacentral:rRNA from 1 species